AUUGAACGCUGGCGGAAUGCUUUACACAUGCAAGUCGAACGGCAGCACGGACUUCGGUCUGGUGGCGAGUGGCGAACGGGUGAGUAAUGUAUCGGAACGUGCCCAGUCGUGGGGGAUAACGUAGUGAAAAUUACGCUAAUACCGCAUACGAUCUAUGGAUGAAAGCGGGGGAUCGCAAGACCUCGCGCGAUUGGAGCGGCCGAUAUCAGAUUAGGUAGUAGGUGGGGUAAAGGCCCACCAAGCCAACGAUCUGUAGCUGGUCUGCGAGGACGACCAGCCACACAGGAACUGAGACACGGACCACACUCCUACGUGAGGCAGUAGUGGGGAAUUUUGGACAAUGUGCGAAAGCCUGAUCCCGCCAUUCCGCGUUCAGGAUGAAGGCCCUCGGUUUGUAAACUGCUUUUGUACAGAACGAAAAUGUUUCUACUAAUACUAGGAGCUCAUGACGGUACUGUAGAAUAAGCACCGGCUAACUACGUGCCAGCCGCCGCGGUAA
rnacentral:rRNA from 1 species